GUCGAGAUCAGGCAAGUCGAUGGGCUGGCAAUGGCAGAAGCCAUGCACGCCUACCGAUCACCCUUAAAAGCGAGGGGGCUCGCUCAUUUGAGGGGGUUCUAGUUUUGGCAGAGAGAGAGAGAGCAAGCUAGAGAGAGAGGAGCUCGUGAGGUUCCCUGACCGUCACUGGAGGCUCACCAUUCCUCGCAGCAGCUCUUUUUGCACCAGGUACUUUAGAGCUUCGUUUAGGGCUAGGGAUUCGGCGUGAGCUGCAGAGGUUGCCUUCAUCGAUUUCGCAAAUCCAUCAACGAUCCUUCCAGUAUAAUCGCGGCAUAUGCAAGCGAUCACUGCAUCCAGGACUCCUUCUUCAAACGACCAUCUAUAGUAACCUUCAGACCUCCUUUUCUCGGUGGAAUCCAAAUCUGACGGUGCUUCUCGGAUCUGGAACUUGGUGCCUGAAGAUAGAGUUGUCGCGCGCCUUCCAUGUAUACCAUAAAACAGUGGCUACGUGCUCUAGUAAAGGUGAUGUUGUUGUUUUCUCUGUGAGUUUCAGUAACCAUCUGUCAAUUCUGGUUAAACCCAAUCUUGAGAUUUGCAAAUUCACUGAUGGGUCCAACCAGAUUUGUCUUGUCCAGGGACAGAACAGGAAAAUAUGUUCCGAUGUUUCAACUUCAUGAUUGCAGAGAGAGCACAUUGGUUCAGGAAUAAUCUUCCUUUUCCAAAGGUUUUCCUUCGAUGGAACCGCAUCCUGACAUAGACUCCAUAUGAAUAUUUUAAUUUUCGAGCUUGUCUCCAUAUUCCAUAACUGGUUCCAUAGUUUAUGAGGGGGAUGGAAAGAAGUGGAAGGUUGAAUCUGUUUGUGCUCUGUCUCUUUAACGUAAAUUCUCCUGUCUUCGUGCCUGUCCAAAGCAAUUUGUCAUGUGUUGUUUGUGGCUGAUAGGGAUUGAAAGAAUUUCCUGAGUAGUAGGUUCAUCAAAAAAGUCCAGUAGCUUUGUCUCAUCCCAUCUAUCCUCAUUUCUGAGUAUCAAACCGUCCACUGUAUUG